UUGAUGGUGGAGGGAAAAAGUGCUGGGCUAAGGACUUAUUCCGGAGGCACUCCAUUAAGUCAAGUUCAACCAUGUUGAUAAGCCAAUAAUACUGUCUGGACAAAACAUUUUUUUACUCCAUUAAAACGCAAACAGGAGUGGAUCCAGGAAGUUGGUUCAGGAGUUUGGCGAGCAUACACAGAUUUCCACUGAGUGCCGCGCACGGACCAUUCCAGGAGCACGUGUCAAAAAGGAAAUAAAGGUUCUCCACCGAAAGAUU